CCCUUAGAUGUUCUGGGCUGCACGCGCGCUACACUGACGCACGCAACAGGUGCCUGCUCCGAGAGGACUGGGUAAUCAUUUGAGUGUGCGUCGUGAUGGGGAUAGAAUAUUGUAAUUAUUACUCUUCGACGAGGAAUUCCUAGUAAGCGCCAGUCAGCAGCUUGCGUCGAUUACGUCCCUGCCCUUUGUACACACCGCCCGUCGCUCCUACCGAUUGGGUGUGCUGGUGAAAUGUUCGGAUCGGCCGUUUGUCGCGGUUUCCGCGUCAUGUGGCUGAGAAGUUCAUUAAACCCUCCCACCUAGAGGAAGGAGAAGUCGUAACA
rnacentral:rRNA from 1 species